UACGGAGGGAGCUAGCGUUGUUCGGAAUUACUGGGCGUAAAGCGCGCGCAGGCGGCUAUCCAAGUCAGUGGUGAAAGCCCGGAGCUCAACUCCGGAACUGCCAUUGAAACUGUUUAGCUUGAGGACGAGAGAGGUGAGUGGAAUUCCCAGUGUAGAGGUGAAAUUCGUAGAUAUUCGCAAGAACACCAGUGGCGAAGGCGGCUCACUGGCCCGGUACUGACGCUGAGGUGCGAAAGCGUGGGGAGCAAACAGG
rnacentral:rRNA from 1 species